AUUGAACGCUGGCGGCAGGCCUAACACAUGCAAGUCGAACGGUAGCACAGAGAGCUUGCUCUCGGGUGACGAGUGGCGGACGGGUGAGUAAUGUCUGGGAAACUGCCCGAUGGCGGGGGAUAACUACUGGAAACGGUAGCUAAUACCGCAUCACGUCGCAAGACCAAAGUGGGGGACCUUCGGGCCUCACACCAUCGGAUGUGCCCAGGUGGGAUUAGCUAGUAGGUGGGGUAAUGGCUCACCUAGGCGACGAUCCCUAGCUGGUCUGAGAGGAUGACCAGCCACACUGGAACUGAGACACGGUCCAGACUCCUACGGGAGGCAGCAGUGGGGAAUAUUGCACAAUGGGCGCAAGCCUGAUGCAGCCAUGCCGCGUGUAUGAAGAAGGCCUUCGGGUUGUAAAGUACUUUCAGCGGGGAGGAAGGCGGUGAAGUUAAUAACUUCACCGAUUGACGUUACCCGCAGAAGAAGCACCGGCUAACUCCGUGCCAGCAGCCGCCGUAA
rnacentral:rRNA from 1 species